AGAGUUUGAUCCUGGCUCAGAAUCAACGCUGGCGGCGCGCUUAACACAUGCAAGUCGAGCGAGAAAGGGGAGCAAUCCCUGAGUACAGCGGCGUACGGGUGAGUAACACGUGGAUGAUCUACCUCUUAGUGGGGAAUAACUCUGGGAAACCGGAGCUAAUACCGCAUGAGCCUGAGAAGGGAAAGCAGCAAUGCGCUGAGAGAGGAGUCCGCGGCCGAUUAGCUAGUUGGUGGGGUAAGAGCCUACCAAGGCGACGAUCGGUAGCCGGCCUGAGAGGGCACACGGCCACACUGGCACUGAAACACGGGCCAGACUCCUACGGGAGGCAGCAGUGGGGAAUCUUGCACAAUGGAGGCAACUCUGAUGCAGCGACGCCGCGUGAGCGAUGAAGCCCUUCGGGGUGUAAAGCUCUUUCGACGGGGACGAUAAUGACGGUACCCGGAGAAGAAGCUGCGGCUAACUACGUGCCAGCAGCCGCGGUAAUACGUAGGCAGCGAGCGUUGUUCGGAAUUACUGGGCGUAAAGAGUGUGUAGGCGGUGCUCUAAGUUCGGUGUGAAAUCUCCUGGCUUAACUGGGAGGGUGCGCCGGAAACUGGAGUGCUUGAGCGUGGGAGAGGAAAGCGGAAUUCCUGGUGUAGCGGUGAAAUGCGUAGAUAUCAGGAGGAACACCUGCGGUGUAGACGGCUUUCUGGACCAUGGCUGACGCUGAGACACGAAAGCGUGGGUAGCAAACAGGAUUAGAUACCCUAGUAGUCC
rnacentral:rRNA from 1 species